GGCUGAUUGUUGUCGGACGGACAAAAUGACGUUUUGCAAGUCUCAAUAAAAACGAAUAAUUUUCAAGUGCACCCCUGUGUUAAACUAACAAGUGAUUAUAAAUGGCAACGCAAUAAAUCUAUAAAUAAAAAUAUUUACAUAAAACGAUGUGUGACGCGUUCAUGCUCAAAUUGUUAACCGUAGCAAUAAACUGUACUCGUAUGUAAAAUUGUAAAACAUGGAUGAGCGGAAAGUCGCCGAUUACUUCGUGAUCGCUGGGUUACCGGAGAAACCGGAAUUACUUGAUGAUUCCGACUCUGGACACCUCAAGGGAUACAGUACCAAACCACCAAUUACUGACAUAGGAGUAAUAUUUCCUGGUCUCGAAGAAACUGUUCCCGACGGUUACGAGGUGCUCGAAACAACACCCACAGGUUUACCAGCAGACUUGAAUCAUGGAUCCAUGCGGUCUCCAGAAUGUUACCUCUGCAUACGAAGAGGCAGGAAUCGACCUCCACUUGUCGAUAUCGGUGUCAUGUACGACGGCAAAGAACGUCUUAUGGCAGACGCCGAAAUGGUCCUGGUCUCCGCCGGUGGCAGGCUGGCCAAUGUUAACAACUCUACGGCAAAAACCUUCAUUACGUACCGCAGAGCGCACACGGGAGCCCCUUGCAAUGCUUUGGUGGUUGUCGAUGUGUGUGUGAUAGUGGCCAGCAAGGGGGAAUGUCCGCCGCAUGCCUUUUGUAUGAUACCCAAGAAUUUGAAUAAAGGUUUAAUGGGCAGUGAUGUGUUUCUCUGCUACAAGAAGUCAAUGAACCGUCCACCACUAAUUGCCUACAAACCCGAUGUACUGUUCAGGUAUCCAACGAUAGAGCGACGUAACUUAUUAUUUCCUACAUCGGUCCCGCUAUUUUGUUUGCCCAUGGGAGCAACUUUAGAACUAUGGCCUAACAACGCGGCGAUGCCUAAACCCGUCUUCUCGACUUUUGUACUCACUGUUGCGGAUGCUACUUAUAAGGUAUAUGGUUCAGCAGUAACCUUCUACGAGAAGUACCCUCACUCGAAACUAACUGAAGCACAGAUGGAACUGUUAGGAUGGAGAGAAGGAAUAUCACAAACGACUCACUCGGUGUACGCUAUCAAAUGUAUCUGUUUGCUGUCGCGGUGGCCUUUCAGUGAUACUUUUGAACGAUGGCUGCUUUAUAUACUAGAAAUGUCAUGGAGUAAAGAACCGUUAAACAUACCAAUAGAAAGGUAUAUUACACAUUUAUUAGAAGAGGUGCCCUUUCCGGAACCCAGAAUAUUGUUACAAUUAUCCCCAACAAACCAGCACGACCGUGUGAUAGUGACGCGUCGCGACGACCAGCCGCUCGUCCGCAGCGGCGCCAGCUUCCGACAGCUGCUGCUUAAUCUAGGACCCGAUAACUGUCUGCUGGUCUUAGCUUUAGCUAUCACAGAGCAAAAAGUACUUAUUCACUCGCUCAGGCCUGAUACAUUAACAGCUGUUUCGGAAGCAGUCUCAAGUUUACUAUUUCCGUUCAAAUGGCAAUGUCCUUACAUACCGUUGUGUCCAUUAGGUUUAGCAGAAGUAUUACACGCUCCAUUACCGUAUCUUAUCGGAGUCGACUCAAGAUUUUUUGAUCUGUACGAACCCCCACCAGAUGUGACCUGUGUUGAUUUAGACACCAAUAAUAUUACAAUAUGCGAAUCACAGAGGCAUAUAUCUCUCAAAUUACUACCGAAGCGGCAAGCGAGAGCACUUCGACAAACGCUAGACUUACUCUACGGUAACAUUAGACCAGCUUCACCAGUUCAUCAUGCAAGCGAAGCUAAAUACAAUGGAGAACCAACCACAAGUUUAGAUAGGGACUUCCAAAAGAGGAAAAAGGAGCAAGCAUUAGAGUUGAAAAUCCAAGAAGCGUUUUUACGUUUCAUGGCGGUCACACUACAAGGAUACAGAAAUUAUCUCAUACCUAUUACGAAGGCGCCUACCGUUGGAACCACGGACCCGCAUGCGUUGUUCCAUAUGGAUGCGUUUUUAAGGUCCAGGGAUAAGACACACCAACGCUUCUACGGUCUAAUGAUGCGUACACAAAUGUUCACGCGGUUCAUAGAAGAACGUUCCUUCGUGUACGAACCAGAUCAAGGGCUAACAUUCUUCGACGAGUGUAUAGAACGAGUGGCCGCUGGGGACGAACAACUGUUAGGAAUGGACACUAGUAAUGCUUCUGAGAGAACCGCUUUUGUGUUGCCCCCUGAUCCUCCUGACCCGGAAGCGACAUACAACUACUCGCGCUUCGAGCUGGACGAGAAAGUAAUGCAGUGGUGCGGCGGCCGAGCUCGAGCCGCCGCCCUGCACGCGCUGCCGCCCGCCGCCUUACACUCCGCCGAGUCUCUUAAUGAUGCCGAGCCCAUGGCCAGGAGGACUAAGCAUGAAAUUGCGGCGGCGCAGAGACUAGCCCGCAAGGCCAGUUUAUCAGCAGAAGCAUGGGCCAAGUGCCUGCUAGGCGCUUGUUACUCGCUAUACUUCCUGGCGCUGCCGUGCCGCAUGUCGCUGAGCCGCGGCCGGGAACACGCCACGCUGAGGGCGGCGUACGAACUGUUGGAACGGGCCACUAAGCUUAAAGUGCCUUGUGACGAGGUAUGCUACCGUGUAAUGAUGCAGUUAUGCGGCAACCACUCUUUACCAGUCUUAGCCGUACAACUGCUCUUCCUAAUGAAACGAGCCGGCUUGCAGCCCAAUGCACUCACUUAUGGGUAUUAUAACCGAUGUGUGCUGGAGGCUACGUGGCCGCAGGAUAUGCCUAGUGGAGCGCAACUACUAUGGAACAAACUCCGCAUAGCAGUAGUGGGAGCAGCUUUGUUCCGGAAAGCUGGGGCGCAGCGAGCUGGCAGAAAUACUCAGAAUUUGACUUCCGCUGGCAGCAGCAGCACAUUGCCGCGGGUCCGCUCGGCGGCGGCGGUGGGCGAGGGCGGCGAGCUGGCGGGGCUGGCCAACAUGGCGGCCUGCGAGCCCGCACACAGCCGCACUAGUCUAGACUCAGCUUGUGAACGCGACGCGGAAGCUCGUUCGAACGCGUUCGAGGCGCUCGUACGUCGCGGCAACAUCGUACGCGAUGCUCACACGCGGACACAUGCACAUGCUAUGUCGGCCGCCGCUGGCAUUCUUAUAUCAGGUAUACCGUCCAACCCAGAUUUGAGUGAAACAUCGCGACCGAGAAGUAAUUCAUUGAAUAACGAAGACUCCAGUAGUACACCUAUUCCAAUACCAGAGAAAAGACAGACAAUCCACGUAAGCCCGGACAGUCCGUCAGACCUCCGCAUCCUGACGCGGUCGGAGAGCUUCGCGGGGGACGCGCAGAUCGUGCAGCAAAUACAGAGGCUAGCCUUCCCUAGUGUAGUAACACCGAACACAAAAUCUCGGUGUUCGAGGACAUUGAGUUUCCCUGAAGAGCCGGAGAAAGAGGCCGCUGCGACUGACGCUUCCGAUGUUAAAACAUCGCCACUCAAAGUAUCAGCCCGCACCCCAGUCCUAAGCGACGACCCUCUCGGCGCACUAAGCCAACCGGACGUCCCACACGAACCGGUCACCCGCACUGAACCUGUCGACGAGCCCACAUUACCCAAACACGAGUUGAGCGUCAGUCCUAAGUUGUUCCACCGACGAAGUAACUCGUUCCAAGAUGAUCCGCCUCAGGAUAAUGCAGGAAGUGAGACGGCGCCUGCAGGUACCGUGUCUUCUAGCCUCGUUAGCCUCGGGAAUACAUUGAAAAUCAGCUUCGGACGCUAUUCGCCAGGCAGGCUGUCGUUGCGCAAGGAAAACAUGAAACUGGGGAAGGCUAUGAUCGAGAAUUACUUCAGUCCAACGAGUAUAGCAGGGAAAAGGUCCAAUGAAUUGCUACAAAGUGGUCUUAGCAGUCUGAAGUCAGCCGCGACGAGUAUGGCCAAGAAGUUCGAUGAAAUGAAAGAGGUUAUAUCGGCUAACUCGACUCCUGUGAAAGGCGCGUUCGGUAACGCUACCAGUGCGCUGAAUAGUUUGAUGGGAGAAGAGGAUUCGACUGAUGGGUCUUCUGAGAUGAAUCCUGAUGAAUGGGUUGGAGGUAUAGGAUUCAGACGAGCAUCGAGUGACGCAGAGCUAGCGUGCUCUAUGGAGCGCGGUUCUCUGGCUACACUUGUUUCGCACUUACCUGAUAACCUGUACCCUGUCACGAAUGACCAAUCAACAACCGAGAACUCAUCAGUAGUGGUCCACCUGUCUUCGUGUUCGCAAUGCCACCAGUGCCUCGCGUUCUUAUACGACGAGGACAUCAUGGCGGGCUGGGCGGCCGACGACUCUAACCUGAACACGCGCUGCAUCGCUUGCGGCAGACAUACUGUGCCGCUGCUCAAUGUGCAGAUACUCCGUUCCGACCAAAAACAAGAAACAUUAAGUGUGCCUUAUUUAAACCCUCUGGUGUUAAGGAAGGAAUUCGAAUCUAUAUUAGGUAGGGAAGGCGACUCAUGCUUAGCAGAAUCGAGCUUCGUAGAAUCACAUCCGAUCGUGUACUGGAACUUGGUAUGGUUCUUAGAGAGAGCGAACAUCGAGAACCAUCUCCCUGAUCUGCUCUGUCCCGACUUCCAAACCAAGUACCUUAGUACGGACAUGCUACAUGAACCGGAAAAAACUGGCGGUUGUCGCGUGGUGUGCACGUGGGAGCUGCCCCGCGGCGGCGGCGGCGACGGCAGCGAGGCGGGCGCGGCGCUGCACGCGGCGUGGCGCGGGCGCCGGCGCCUGCACCAGCGCUCGCGGGCGCUGCAGGCACUACUCCUUACCGAGGACGAGCAGCACGCUGGACACACUGUGGCUCUGGCGGUUCUCAACGGCUUGCUAAGCAACGAUCUGUCAGACGCUCUACAGAAACUUGCUACGUGGAGAGAAAACACAUCCAACAACAAACGAUACCAUUCCUUCUACAGAGAUAUAUUAUUCCUCGCAAUGGCGGCUCUCGGCGACCACAAUAUUGACUUAAUGGCUCUUCAACGGGAGUACACUCGCGCUCUCGACCAACUGGGAGGGGAAGCGAGGCCGCAGGACUUACCACCUUCACCGACUGCCGUGUGCUGCAGACAUUACUUUAAGCGGCUACGACUCCUCGCAGAAGAAUGAACAAGAUAAAAAGACUACAGAUAUCUGCAUAACAAUUAUGUAGUAUGCAACCUGCUAGUACUAGCUUCUUAGAUACAGUUCACGUAAAUUACUUUUGCUUCUCUGAAGUCAGCCAUUUGAAGUUUGCGCGGCAGUGACCAACUUCAGAGGGGCAAAGCGUUUUGACUUGUUCUGUAUACUCACAGAAUAAAAUACAAACGCGUGUCAAUCCGCUUCUCAUUAUAACGACAUGCCGUUGUGCAGUCUGACGUAAUAGAAUAAGUGAAUCAGUAUCUGCAACCAUGCAGUAUUCGUGCAACCUCCAAUAUGACCCAGGGCUGUCAUUGCACGAUUAUAAUUAUUUCAUAUUUACGUAACUCCAGCUUGCAAUGCUUUUAUUUACGACGCGGCUACUCGAAUAAGAGUUCCGAAUAUCCUUGUAUGUAUUGUUUUUUUUUUACAUACGUUAUUAUUUACAUUCAGAACCCAUAUAAACAGUAUAUGUAUAAUGAGUAGACAUGUGUUGUUGAUAAAGAGUUAUUAUUUUUUUGUAGUUUAGUUUUGAGAGUUUCGUUCUAUAUACAAAACUAGUAGGGAGUACCGUCCAUUUUAUUUUAGAACGAUAUAGUUUAUCGAAGCAUUACAUUUGUGUAUGACUAUGACAAAACCGGAACUUGACGAACUUCUUAAGCCCGUCCAAACGGGAUCAAGGUAUGCUUGAUUCAACAUAAAAUCUAUUAUAUACACAAUGAUUCUAUUCAUAAAAUUGUUAACCGUAAGGUCACGACUGUAAGAUAGAAGGAAUUGCGUGAGUUAUUGUGGCCUAAGUUUCAUGAACAUUGCCCCAAAAGUAUAUUACGAGGUAUCAUUCACUCAUAAGCAAUCUAUGUAAUAAAUUCACGUUUCGGCAUAUCCAUUAGUCUAGGUUCGUGGGUGCUAAGUUAAGUAAUUGGGACGGUGACCGCAGUAACGUAUGUACAUAGAGUUGUUGUAUAGUGUAGGUGUAAGGCCACAAAGGGCGAUAUGUAAUUGUGCUUAACAUUGUGAUGCCAGUGCUGUAACGCGGUUGAAUUCGUAAACGAAUUGUAUUAAGAGUUUGUGUGUGUGUUUACAUAGUCACAUUAUUUAUGUCCCAGGCACCCUGUGUGGUUAUAACGCAAUAAUCAUUUCUCUAAUUGUGCAAUACCGAUAUGUUUUGUACAGACAGUCAAUUUUGUGAUAUCAAACACCAUUUUUCAGUGACACUAAAUAAUGUGACUGCCAAAAUUCAAAAGUAUUCAUGAAAGUGUCAAUAUAGUUAGUUGAUAUUAUGAUGAAAUCAUAUUCGUUUGUUUCUAUUAUCUGUUCUAAAUAACUUUUUACGCCUUUAGUGAAGCGUAGCACGACUCGACUUUAAAUUGUACUAAUAUCACUGUUUCAAUCUGUUUUAUCAAUACAUGGAGAAAAAUAACAGAAAGAAUUGAAUGUAACAUGUACAUAAAAUGGUUUAUUUUAAUUGGCAGUUAAUCUGUACUGCAACUCUCAAAUACUCAGGAUACUAACCAAGUUCUUCAUAUUAUUUGUAUUACAGAAUAAUACAUAACACUAUUUAUUGAAACUAACCUUAGACACUAAAGUCAAACUAAUUUUUCGAACAAAUUCUAGUGAUUCUUAUUUAUUUGAAUCUACAAUCUUAUAAAUGUGUACAUCUUGGCUUACUACUUUCUUGUAUCCAGUUUUAUAAUAACAUUUAACACAAGAAUUUCACUACUUAACAUCUACGAAUUGUAUGUACACUAGUGAUCAUGUACAAGCCAUAUUGUUAGUUCCAUAAAAAUUGUACAAUGAAGCCACAAGGUUAUUUCAAGUUGUAAAAUAUUCAUUGUAAGCAAAAAUUGAAAUUUAAUUAUGUAUAUUAUUCAUAGCUACAGUCAUAAAAGACAAACAAUUAACUUAUGGGAGUUCUGUUAUUGAAUAAAGAUUAUUUUAUUUUGACAAGUGUAAUAAAAUGCAUAUAAUUUUUAUAAAAAAAAUAUAUAAGGCUUCAAUA